CAUCGAUAAACAAAAGAUUACACCGGAAGUGAGCAUCCAUCUGAAGGGCGUGGACGUUCAACCCUACAAUGAAGUGAUUGACUAUAUAGAGACUCUAGGACAGGAUCCUAAAGCUAAAAUAUGGAUAACGCAGUACUGUAGCUAUGCUCUUCGAAUGGUUAUUCCUAAGGGUAGAUCCGUUACGGAUGAAUCUCCCAUUGCAUUUCCAAAAGCUGUCAAGAAUUACGUGGAAGUCGAGGGAAUGAAAAAAGCAAAUGUAACUUCUGAAUUCUUGAACCCAGAUUCUUCUCAGUUUUGCAACGGAAAAUUGCAGAAUCUGGAGACGAAUAUGCCUUUGAUUUGAUUGAUCAAAAAUUCCCAUUAUGCAUAUACGAUCCAGAUUCUAGGCCUCCCUCCAUUGUCUCUAACCAGAGACUUACAUUUCAACUGGGAAACUGAGAAGGACUAACCCGUAACUAAUUAAUGGUCUAUCGCUCAUACUGCGCUGUGAUUGG